GACGAACGCUGGCGGCGUGCCUAACACAUGCAAGUCGAGCGGGAGACUUCGGUCUCUAGCGGCGGACGGGUGAGUAACACGUGGGUAACCUGCCUUAGUGAGGGGGAUAGCCUCCCGAAAGGGAGAUUAAUACCGCAUAACAUUGCGAUAUCGCAUGAUAUUGUAAUUAAAGGAGUAAUCCGCACUAAGAUGGACCCGCGGCGCAUUAGCUAGUUGGUGAGGUAACGGCUCACCAAGGCGACGAUGCGUAGCCGGCCUGAGAGGGUGAACGGCCACAUUGGAACUGAGACACGGUCCAGACUCCUACGGGAGGCAGCAGUGGGGAAUAUUGCACAAUGGGCGAAAGCCUGAUGCAGCAACGCCGCGUGAGUGAUGAAGGCCUUCGGGUUGUAAAGCUCUGUCUUCUGGGACGAUAAUGACGGUACCAGAGGAGGAAGCCACGGCUAACUACGUGCCAGCAGCCGCGGUAAUACGUAGGUGGCAAGCGUUGUCCGGAUUUACUGGGCGUAAAGGAUGCGUAGGCGGAUACUUAAGUCAGAUGUGAAAAUCCCGGGCUUAACUUGGGAACUGCAUUUGAAACUGGGUAUCUAGAGUGCGGGAGAGGAAAGUGGAAUUCCUAGUGUAGCGGUGAAAUGCGUAGAGAUUAGGAAGAACACCAGUGGCGAAGGCGACUUUCUGGACCGUAACUGACGCUGAGGCAUGAAAGCGUGGGGAGCAAACAGGAUUAGAUACCCUGGUAGNCCACGCCGUAAACGAUGAAUACUAGGUGUGGGGGUUAUCAUGACUUCCGUGCCGCAGUUAACACAAUAAGUAU
rnacentral:rRNA from 1 species